AUACUUACCUUAAGAUGCCAGGGGAGAUCAAGAAGUCCUACUGGCCAAGUAUGCAUCUUCAAUUGAGGGAUGCUAUGCGGUUUUCUUCAUAGAUCAAUUGACGUAAGCUUCCUCGACGAUUGCACAUACAUGCGAAGAGUGUACUUGCUGACGUUCCGUUUCCUCGUUCUGGCAAUAUGUGGGAUUCUUAUCCUGUGUUUUGUUAGGGCCCUUUUUUCCUUCUGCCUGGAGAAGUAUGACACUGAGUACAAUCAGUGUUGGGGGAGCUGGGAUUACUCAAGAGAGUUUUAUCGGAAAGUUGUUCUCUCGAAAGGACUAUUACAAUAGUUGUGACUCGUGAUGACUGUUGAUUCCCUGGGAUUAAGUUUCUGGGAGAAGGUUGAAUGGUUUAUAAUAUGAGUUGUGAUGUAAUAGGCCGUUUGAAGAACAUGAUUCGAAAGAAUCGAAACUUUUGGUUAAGACGUGUUUCACCUCGGUGAAAUAAAAUCGUUGAGCGAUCUUGGUAGGAACGGGUGGGUCUUUUAAUUUUUGAUUUAUUUC
rnacentral:snRNA from 1 species